UCUUAUGGAUGAGCAAACAAAGUGGUUUCUUGAGAUGGAAUCUACUCCUAGUUGAAGAUGCUGUGAA
rnacentral:pre_miRNA from 1 species